rnacentral:rRNA from 1 species
GGCACAGCUCAAUUUGAAAUCUGGCUCUCUUUGGGGGUCCGAGUUGUAAUUUGCAGAGGAUGCUUUGGCAUUGGCGGCGGUCUAAGUUCCUUGGAACAGGACAUCGCAGAGGGUGAGAAUCCCGUACGUGGGCGCCUGCCUUUGCCGUGUAAAGCUCCUUCGACGAGUCGAGUUGUUUGGGAAUGCAGCUCUAAAUGGGAGGUAAAUUUCUUCUAAAGCUAAAUACCGGCCAGAGACCGAUAGCGCACAAGUAGAGUGAUCGAAAGAUGAAAAGUACUUUGGAAAGAGAGUCAAAAAGCACGUGAAAUUGUUGAAAGGGAAGCGCUUGCAGCCAGACUUGCCCGCAGUUGCUCACCUAGGCUUUGGCCUGGGGCACUCUUCUGCGGGCAGGCCAGCAUCAGUUUGGGCGGUCGGACAAAGGCCUCUGUCAAGUAUCUCCCUUCGGGGUGACCUUAUAGGGGAGGCGUAAUGCGACCAGCCCGGACUGAGGUCCGCGCAUCUGCUAGGAUGCUGGCGUAAUGGCUGUAAGCGGNCCGUCUUGAAACACGGACCAAGGAGUCUAACAUCUAUGCGAGUGUUUGGGUGUCAAGCCCGGGCGCGCAAUGAAAGUGAACGGAGGUGGGAACCCUUU